UACAGAGGUCCCAAGCGUUGUUCGGAUUCACUGGGCGUAAAGGGUGCGUAGGCGGUCGGGUAAGUCUGGCGUGAAAUCUCCAAGCCUAACUUGGAAACUGCGUUGGAUACUAUCCGGCUCGAGGAGUGGAGGGGAGACUGGAAUACUUGGUGUAGCAGUGAAAUGCGUAGAUAUCAAGUGGAACACCAGUGGCGAAGGCGAGUCUCUGGACAUUUCCUGACGCUGAGGCACGAAAGCCAGGGGAGCAAACGGG
rnacentral:rRNA from 1 species